rnacentral:rRNA from 1 species
AGUAUUGCACAAUGGAGGAAACUCUGAUGCAGCGACGCCGCGUGAACGAUGAAGGCUUUCGGGUCNUCAAGUUCUGUCCUUGGGGANGAUAAUGACGGUACCCAAGGAGGAAGCCCCGGCUAACUACGUGCCAGCAGCCGCGGUAAUACGUAGGGGGCGAGCGUUGUCCGGAAUUAUUGGGCGUAAAGGGUUCGCAGGCGGUCCUUUAAGUCAGAUGUGAAAGCCCACGGCUCAACCGUGGUAAGCAUUUGAAACUGAAGGACUUGAGUUAAGGAGAGGAAAGUGGAAUUCCUAGUGUAGCGGUGAAAUGCGUAGAUAUUAGGAGGAAUACCAGUGGCGAAGGCGACUUUCUGGACUUAUACUGACGCUGAGGAACGAAAGCGUGGGGAGCAAACAGG